ensembl:snRNA U5 U5 spliceosomal RNA
AUUGUCAGACCUCGCUCCAGCUGAUGGAGGGCACACAAGUCUUUCGCCUUUUACUAAAGACUUCCGUGCAGGGGAACAGUAAGCAAUUGAAUCUAUUUUUGGCAGGCUACGCCACUGGUGAAGCCU